rnacentral:rRNA from 1 species
CCUACGGGUGGCAGCAGUGGGGAAUAUUGGGCAAUGGGCGCAAGCCUGACCCAGCAACGCCGCGUGAAGGAAGAAGGCUUUCGGGUUGUAAACUUCUUUUGUCAGGGACGAAGCAAGUGACGGUACCUGACGAAUAAGCCACGGCGAACUACUUGCCAGCCGCCGCGGUAAUACGUAGGUGGCAAGCGUUAUCCGGAUUUACUGGGUGUAAAGGGAUUGUAGGCGGGACUGCAAGUCAGAUGUGAAAACCGCGGGCUCAACCUGUGGCCUGCAUUUGAAACUGUAGUUCUUGAGUACUGGAGAGGCAGACGGAAGUCCUGGUGUAGCGGUGAAAUGCGUAGAUAUUAGGAGGAACACCAGUGGCGAAGGCGGGCUGCUGGACAGCAACUGACGCUGAGGCGAGAAAGCGUGGGGAGCAAACAGGAUUAGAUACCCCAGUAGUC